rnacentral:rRNA from 1 species
UAGUGGCGAACGGGUGAGUAACACGUGGGCAAUCUGCCCUGCACUCUGGGACAAGCCNUGGAAACGGGGUCUAAUACCGGAUAACACUGUCCCCCUCCUGGGGGACGGUUGAAAGCUCCGGCGGUGCAGGAUGAGCCCGCGGCCUAUCAGCUUGUUGGUGGGGUAAUGGCCUACCAAGGCGACGACGGGUAGCCGGCCUGAGAGGGCGACCGGCCACACUGGGACUGAGACACGGCCCAGACUCCUACGGGAGGCAGCAGUGGGGAAUAUUGCACAAUGGGCGAAAGCCUGAUGCAGCGACGCCGCGUGAGGGAUGACGGCCUUCGGGUUGUAAACCUCUUUCAGCAGGGAAGAAGCGAAAGUGACGGUACCUGCAGAAGAAGCGCCGGCUAACUACGUGCCAGCAGCCGCGGUAAUACGUAGGGCGCAAGCGUUGUCCGGAAUUAUUGGGCGUAAAGAGCUCGUAGGCGGUCUGUCACGUCGGGUGUGAAAGCCCGGGGCUUAACCCCGGGUCUGCAUUCGAUACGGGCAGACUAGAGUGUGGUAGGGGAGAUCGGAAUUNCU